rnacentral:piRNA from 1 species
UGAUAAGCACAGCCCACCAUAUGGGUUUAUC